rnacentral:tRNA from 1 species
UCCCCGGAGGACUAGUGGUUAGGCCACGGCGCGCUAACUUCUCCGCCCUCGGUUCGAUUCCCAGCCAGGGAA